GGAGAGGCUGUGGCUCAGUGGUAGAGUAUCUGCUUUGCCUGUAGAAGGUCUCAGGUUUAAUUCCCAGCAUUUCCA
rnacentral:tRNA from 1 species